rnacentral:rRNA from 1 species
AUUGAACGCUGGCGGCAGGCCUAACACAUGCAAGUCGAACGAGUGGCGGACGGGUGAGUAAUGUCUGGGAAACUGCCGGAGGGAGGGGGAUAACUACUGGAAACGGUAACUAAUACCGCAUACCAUCAGAUUUUCCAAGAUGGAAUUAGCUCUAGGGUGGGGUAAGGGCUCACCUAGGCGACGAUCCCUACCUGGUUUGAGAGAAUGACCAGCCACACUGGAACGGAGACACGGUCCAGACUCCUACGGGAGGCAGCAGUGGGGAAUAUUGCACAAUGGGCGCAAGCCUGAUGCAGCCAUGCCGCGUGUAUGAAGAAGGCCUUCGGGUUGUAAAGUACUUUCAGCGAGGAGGCGUUACUCGCAGAAGAAGCACCGGCUAACUCCGUGCCAGCAGCCGCGGUAAUAC